GCUGGGUGUGGUGGCGCAUGCCUGUAGUCCCAGCUACUCAGGAGGCUGAGGCAGCAGAAUCGCUUGAACCUGGGAGGUGGAGGUUGCAGUGAGCUGAGAUCAUGCCACUGUACGCCAGCCUGGUGACAGAGAGAGACUCUGUCUUAAAAAAAAAAAAAAAAUUAUGCAACUUACGGGUUUUUUUUUUUUUUCUUUUAGACAGAGUCUCACUCUGUCACCAGGCUGGAGUGCAGUGGCGCAAUCCCAGCUCACUGCAGCCUUCGCCUCCCAGGUUCAAGCGAUUCUCCUACCUCAGC
rnacentral:SRP_RNA from 1 species